GCCCACGUGGUGGAACGGUAGACACACAGGACUUAAAAUCCUGUGGGCCUGGAAAGGCCCGUGCGGGUUCGAAUCCCGCCGUGGGCA
rnacentral:tRNA from 1 species